GAUUGUAGGCUGCAACUCGCCUACAUGAAGUCGGAAUCGCUAGUAAUCGCGGAUCAGCAUGCCGCGGUGAAUACGUUCCCGGGCCUUGUACACACCGCCCGUCAAGCCAUGGAAGCCGGGAGUGCCUGAAGUGCGUGAGCGCAAGCAGCGCCCUAAGGUAAAACCGGUGACUGGGGCUAAGUCGUAACAAGGUAUC
rnacentral:rRNA from 1 species